rnacentral:rRNA from 1 species
UCCAGAGGUCUCAAGCGUUGUUCGGAUUCAUUGGGCGUAAAGGGUGUGUAGGUGGCGCCGUAAGUCGGGUGUGAAAUUUUAGAGCUUAACUCUGAAACUGCAUUCGAUACUGCGGUGCUUGAGGACUGGAGAGGAGACUGGAAUUUACGGUGUAGCAGUGAAAUGCGUAGAUAUCGUAAGGAAGACCAGUGGCGAAGGCGGGUCUCUGGACAGUUCCUGACACUGAGACACGAAGGCCAGGGGAGCAAACGGG